rnacentral:rRNA from 1 species
CCUACGGGAGGCAGCAGUGAGGAAUAUUGGUCAAUGGGCGCGAGCCUGAACCAGCCAAGUCGCGUGAAGGAAGACUGUCCUAUGGAUUGUAAACUUCUUUUGUACAGGAAUAAAGUGUUCUACGUGUAGGAUUUUGCAUGUACCGUACGAAUAAGGAUCGGCUAACUCCGUGCCAGCAGCCGCGGUAAU